rnacentral:piRNA from 1 species
UGAAUUUAGCAAUAAUUGAGUGCCCGC